rnacentral:tRNA from 2 species
GCGGGUUUAGCUCAGUUGGGAGAGCGUCAGACUGAAGUCAAACUUCAAUCAAUUGGUAUCUGAAGGUCAUGUGUUCGAUCCACAUAAACCGCA